CCGGAUUCCCUGAAGUGUCUGGAAUGUCACGUGACGUGAUUUCCCCGGUCAUGUGACUCACUGGAAAGAAGAUCAGGGCUCCAUACAUCACGCUGCCCUCAGCUGGUCAUUGCGGCCGGUGAUUAGCUGAGCUGCACUGUUUUUUGUGCAGCAAGAGAAGCAGGAAGAAGAUCACAGCGGGGGACAGAACAGUGAUACAGUGAAGUGGUGGGAGAUCUGGAUCAUCUUGGAUGAAAUGUCAAUGUUUUUUGAUUGAGUGUUUCGAACAUAUUGCCAUAUUUGAAGGAGAAACAAAUCUUUUAGGGUGUUCCUGUGUGGGGUGCACCUGAUGUUUGUACAAUAGAGAUGUGCGAGAUUUUUCGCUGAUGCGUCUCAUGGCUUUUCCAAUGUUAACCUUAACCUCGAUUAAGAUUAAAAAAGCUGC